AGAGGGAGAAGAAAGUAUCACAAACGUUUUGUCCGAAACACAGACGAUAUAGCGAAAAUUGUGAAGAAAGUAAAGGAGUAAGUGCAUGAGAAGGAGAUGCAGCGACUCCGCUUUUAUCUUGUGAAACGUUUGAACUUCGAUGACGUUGGAUUAGCAACCUGCCGCUGAAACUCAGACUUGUUUGGGGACCCCUUGAUUGACCACAAGAAAUCUUCAAUUUGAUGGCAAGCCAGAACCCCAGAGGAAGCUGUGGAGAUUCCUGCAAAUAGAAUUACCAGGUCACCCUGCAGAUGUAGUGGGAUUCACUACGCCGUAUACCUCCUUGGAAGUGAAGAAGAAGUAAAAAAAACACCACAGCUGAUUCAUUAACUGCAACUUCUAAAGAAGCUG